rnacentral:rRNA from 1 species
CCUACGGGAGACAGCAGUGGGGAAUAUUGCACAAUGGGGGGAACCCUGAUGCAGCGACGCCGCGUGAGUGAAGAAGGAUUUCGGUAUGUAAAGUUCUAUCAGCAGGGAAGAAAAUGACGGUACCUGAAUAAGAAGCCACGGCUAACUACGUGCCAUCAGCCGCGGUAAUACGUAGGGGGCAAGCGAUAUACGGAUUUAAUGGGUGUAAAGGGAGCGUAGAAGGCAGAGCAAGUCUGAAGUGAAAUCCCGCGGCCCAACUUGGGGACUGCUUUGGAAACUGCCCGGCUAGAGUGCUGGAGAGGAAAGCGGAAUUCCUGGUGUAGCGGUGAAAUGCGUAGAUAUUAGGAGGAACACCAGUGGCGAAGGCGGCUUACUGGACAGUAACUGACGUUGAGGCUCGAAAGCGUGGGGAGCAAACAGGAUUAGAUACCCGUGUAGUC